rnacentral:piRNA from 1 species
UGGACAUGGUACUCACUUCUCCCCACCGA